GUCCAUGAGAGCAGGAAUUGCUGCAGAUUCUGCAGCAGCUUUACUUUUCCGAGUACUUUCUCAACCUGCUUUGCUUUUCCCCCCCUUGAGGCAAAUUGAAGAAAUUGAAAUUCUGGGUGGCGACACUUCAUGUAAUAAAAAGCAGAGAGAAGUGACUGCUGCAGAAGCCACAGUAGAAGCCACUGCCCAAGGGAUUGCAUCAAUGCUUUGUGCUCAUGGUCCGGAGGUUGAAUGGAGAAUAUGU
rnacentral:misc_RNA from 1 species